rnacentral:rRNA from 1 species
UACGGGGGGGGCAAGCGUUGUUCGGAAUUACUGGGCGUAAAGAGCUCGUAGGCGGCUCGUUGCGUCGGCUGUGAAAACCCGCAGCUCAACUGUGGGCUUGCAGCCGAUACGGGCGGGCUGGAGUUCGGUAGGGGAGACUGGAAUUCCUGGUGUAGCGGUGAAAUGCGUAGAUAUUGGGAGGAACACCAGUGGCGAAGGCGGCUCACUGGACCGGAACUGACGCUGAGGCGCGAACGCCAGGGGAGCAAACGGG